GGGAAUCUUCCGCAAUGGACGAAAGUCUGACGGAGCAACGCCGCGUGAGUGAUGAAGGUUUUCGGAUCGUAAAGCUCUGUUGUUAGGGAAGAACAAGUGCGAGAGUAACUGCUCGCACCUUGACGGUACCUAACCAGAAAGCCACGGCUAACUACGUGCCAGCAGCCGCGGUAAUACGUAGGUGGCAAGCGUUGUCCGGAAUUAUUGGGCGUAAAGGGCUCGCAGGCGGUUUCUUAAGUCUGAUGUGAAAGCCCCCGGCUCAACCGGGGAGGGUCAUUGGAAACUGGGAAACUUGAGUGCAGAAGAGGAGAGUGGAAUUCCACGUGUAGCGGUGAAAUGCGUAGAGAUGUGGAGGAACACCAGUGGCGAAGGCGACUCUCUGGUCUGUAACUGACGCUGAGGAGCGAAAGCGUGGGGAGCGAACAGGAUUAGAUACCCUGGUAGUCCACGCCGUAAACGAUGAGUGCUAAGUGUUAGGGGGUUUCCGCCCCUUAGUGCUGCAGCUAACGCAUUAAGCACUCCGCCUGGGGAGUACGGUCGCAAGACUGAAACUCAAAGGAAUUGACGGGGGCCCGCACAAGCGGUGGAGCAUGUGGUUUAAUUCGAAGCAACGCGAAGAACCUUACCAGGUCUUGACAUCCUCUGACAACCCUAGAGAUAGGGCUUUCCCUUCGGGGACAGAGUGACAGGUGGUGCAUGGUUGUCGUCAGCUCGUGUCGUGAGAUGUUGGGUUAAGUCCCGCAACGAGCGCAACCCUUGAUCUUAGUUGCCAGCAUUCAGUUGGGCACUCUAAGGUGACUGCCGGUGACAAACCGGAGGAAGGUGGGGAUGACGUCAAAUCAUCAUGCCCCUUAUGACCUGGGCUACACACGUGCUACAAUGGACAGAACAAAGGGCUGCAAGACCGCAAGGUUUAGCCAAUCCCAUAAAUCUGUUCUCAGUUCGGAUCGCAGUCUGCAACUCGACUGCGUGAAGCUGGAAUCGCUAGUAAUCGCGGAUCAGCA
rnacentral:rRNA from 1 species